UGUAAAACAACUUCCUGCCUCUUUUGGCUCUGGUUCCAAAAACGGCAAAGGCUGGGCUCACGUGUCUCCCCCCCUCUCUCCCCGAAGUAUCAGGAGGUCUAAAAAGAGAGAAAGCCAGAAAAAGGAAAAGUGUAAAAUCUCUGCAUGUCUCCUCUUGAGGACUUAUUUUGAUGCCUUGUGUCUUUAAUGCCACAUGAGAAGUAAAGGAGGAGAGCAGGGGACUGCAUGCCUAGCAGAACGGAAAGCUGUUGUCACGUCGGCCACACACUGGAAAGAAACAAGAUGGAGACUGCAGAC
rnacentral:lncRNA from 1 species